AUGGCCAUAUCAUAUGGAAUAGGUGUCUCAAUUCAAAUUUACUACAAAAAUUAUUUUUAUUCUGAGUUUUAUUCUCAGAUUCUAUCUGAAGGGUUUGCGAUCAUUGUGGAAAUCCCAUUCUCGCUACGGGAGUUAUUUUGGCAGAAAGAAAAAGAAAUACCAAAGUUUCAGAAUUUACGCAAUUACUAUCUUGCUAGGUUUAGUUGUCAUAGCUGUUCGGAAUCCACAAACCAUCCCGACCGACGGUCAGAAUUUUUUUGA
rnacentral:rRNA from 1 species